GACGAACGCUGGCGGCGCGCCUAAAACAUGCAAGUCGAACGAGAAGCCCGGGCUUGCCCGGGUGGACAGUGGCGAACGGGUGAGUAACACGUGAGGAACCUGCCCCGAAGGCCGGGACAACACCGGGAAACCGGUGCUAAUACCGGAUGCCUUCACCGGAUCGCAUGGUCUGGUGAAGAAAUGGAUUCCGCUUCGGGAUGGCCUCGCGGCCUAUCAGCUUGUUGGUGAGGUAAUGGCUCACCAAGGCGACGACGGGUAGCUCGUCUGAGAGGAUGUCCAGCCACACUGGGACUGAGACACGGCCCAGACUCCUACGGGAGGCAGCAGUUAGGAAUCUUGCGCAAUGGGCGAAAGGCUGACGCAGCGACGCCGCGUGCGGGAUGAAGGCCUUCGGGUUGUAAACCGCUUUCAGCAGGGACGAAAUUGACGGUACCUGCAGAAGAAGCCCCGGCCAACUACGUGCCAGCCGCCGCAGUAA
rnacentral:rRNA from 1 species